rnacentral:rRNA from 1 species
UUGACCUCAAAUCGGGUGGGACUACCCGCUGAACUUAAGCAUAUCAAUAAGCGGAGGAAAAGAAACUAACAAGGAUUCCCCUAGUAACGGCGAGUGAAGAGGGAAAAGCUCAAAUUUUGAAUCUGGUGUCUUUGACUCCCGAGUUGUAAUCUAGAGAAGUGUUUUCCGCG